rnacentral:tRNA from 1 species
GAUAACGUAGGAGAGUUAUAUCGGUCUGUAAAACCGAUGCCAUGCGCUGAAUAGGUUCGAAUCCUAUCAUUUCCA